UCGCAGAGUGAUCGUGCUGAUAACGUGUUAUAAAAAGAACUGGAAUUUUAUUAUAUCGCAGGAAUUUAAAUAAGGGAAAAUUUUAUACCCGUAGAUAGGAGAUAACACUGAUAACAAUAGAGAAUUUGUUAUUAAGAAGGAGAAGAGAUGGUGUCUUUCGUCGAACACAAACGUUCGUUUAUAUAGACAUGAAAAAGUAGGAUUCACUGUGCAAAUAGUGCAGCGGGCCCCACAUCUUUAUAUAUAUUCAACGAAAACGGCUCAUCUUAUCUUUUGUCUUUCGUAACAUAUUUAUUAAUAUUAUUGCAAUAUACAUUAUCAAGGUUAUGUUUAAAAAUUAGAUUAUCAUUUAUGUUUAUUAAGUUAAUGAUACUUUUAUUUCUCAAUCCUCCAAAACCCUAAACUUUAAAAACAAUUUCUAUAACUCAUUUGUAUUUUGUAAUUUUUUUAAAAAAAAAAUCUAACCCUAAACCCUAUAUAUGUUUUAUACCCUAAACAUAAACUUUAAAAUUCAAUAUUUUCAUAAUAUAGCUUCGACCUUAAAUUUAAGUUCAAAAUUCAAUCAUUUUAAAAAUAUAUUUAAAUUCUAAACCUCAAACACUAUACCCUAAAUCUAAUACCCUAAAUGUAAUACCCUAAACCCUAAACUUAAACCUUGCAUACAAAGUCAUAAAUCUAAUCUUUUCAAACUUAUAUAUAAACUUUAAACUUAAACUCCAGUUAUAUUCUAAAACUCAAACCAUAUACUCAGUUAUAAAUUAAAACUCUUAACCCUAAACUACAUACCUCACACUAACCUAUAUCAUAAAGACAUAAACCAUAAUUCCAAUUCAUAUAUCCCAAACAUCAAUUACAAAUUUAAAUUUUUAAAUUUUAAAUUUUAAACUAAAAUUAAAAUUAAAUUUUUAAAUUUUAAAUUGUGAAACCUAAUUCUUUGAAUUAUGUCUUAAAAUAAUUUUUGUACAUUAAAAGUCACCACUAAUUGUUUUGUGUAUUAAAACAAAAAUAAAACAAGAAAUAGUUACAAAAUAUAUGAUUGGUCAUAGUAAAGUAACUAAUAAUGUGCAAGCACUAGGAUUACACUAUAUUUCAAUCACAACCGUUGAUUAAGAUACAUCCAAUGCACAAAAAUGCAUUGAAAAAGACGUGUUUGUUUCUCUCUCUCGUCUCACCCGCGUAUCCUCUGAUUCUUUUCUUUCACUUUCUUUGUCUCCGUCUCUCAUCUUCUUCUCCAUCCCUCUAAAAAAAUCUCUCUCAACCACCACCAUCACCUUAACCACAAACAAUAACCACAAACGAAUCUGUAUCUGAGACCCUCACGGCGUUGUUUGGAAGGGACCACACGAGAGAGACAACUACAGCGAUGCAGCCGAAGAAGACCAUGUCGAAGGAUGAGAGGAAGAAGAGGUGAAUCACGCGAUGGCUCCACCAAGUCACCUCCUAGAUUCUGAGAUACCCCAAAAACCUAAAUCAGAAACAGGAUAAACAGAAGAUGAAGAAUAUCAGGAGACAGAGAGAAGGGGCGUAGGCAGAGGAAUAAGAAGGUGAACAAGGCAUAGGAGCUUAAAGGAGGAGGAGCUAAGGCGAAAUCGGAGCUCUGUAGUGAUGGAGAUGGCGGCUAUGACAACCAUGAAAGGAGGAGAGAGUAACGGCUUAAAGUUAGGUUUUUGGAAAACUGGGUUUCAUAGAUGGAUGUUAUGCGGCGGAGGCGGUGGGUGCGAAAGAGUUAGGUUUUUUUUUCAGAUUUAGUUUUUAAACCGGUUUGUAUGUAAACCGGUUUAAUUUGUAAACCAAAAAUAUUUGUAAUCUGGUUUACUUAUAAACUGAAAUCAAUUGUAAACCGAUUUUUUAAUAUAAACCGAAAUAAUUUAUAAA